CCUACUGCUGCCUAAUUGUUCGAACGUGUACAUCGACGAAAGAAGGGAGAAGGAGACUUUGUAGACAAUAAGUCACAAAUGGUCUAUGUAACUGAAAUACAUUAAUUUUUAUUAUAUGUUGUUCAUAGUUAUUGAUUGAUACUUGCAUUUGUUUUAUAGGAAAAAUAUGAAAAUGCAAUUCAUGAUAAAUAUGGUUCAAAUGUUUCAUCACAACCUGAAAUUGACAUUGAAGCAUGGUGUGAAGCAAGUCAAGGUCCUAGUAAGGGUGGUCGCUUGUAUGGGCUUGGUAUUCAUCAUC
rnacentral:lncRNA from 1 species